rnacentral:rRNA from 1 species
AUGAACGCUUGCCGCGUUCCUCAUACCUUCCAGUCCCACGGACGGACGCGAACCUUGCUUCUCUGCUGUUAGCGGCGGCCGGGUGAGUAACCCUUGGUUAACCUACCUAUAAGUCUGGGUUAACUUCGGGAAACCGUAGCUAAUCCCGGAUAAUAUUUUUAACCGCAUGGUUCAAAAGUGAAAGACGGUCUUUCUGUCACUUAUAGAUGGAUCCUCGCUGCAUUAGCUAGUUGGUAAGGAAACGGCUUACCAAGGCAACGAUGGAUAGCCGAACUGAGAGGGUGAUCGGCCACACGAGAACUGAGACACGGUCCAGACGCCUACGAGAGGGAGCAGUAGGGAAUCUGCCGCAGUGGGCGAAAGCCUGACGGAGCAACGCCACGUGAGUGAUGAAGGUGUUCGGAUCGGAAAACUCUGUUAUGAGGGAAGAACAUAUGUGUAAGUAACUGUGCAGAGCGUGACGGUAACUAGUAAGAAAGCAACGGCUAACUACGUG